rnacentral:rRNA from 1 species
UGGCGGACGGGUGAGUAAUGUCUGGGAAACUGCCUGAUGGAGGGGGAUAACUACUGGAAACGGUAGCUAAUACCGCAUAACGUCGCAAGACCAAAGAGGGGGACCUUAGGGCCUCUUGCCAUCGGAUGUGCCCAGAUGGGAUUAGCUAGUAGGUGGGGUAAAGGCUCACCUAGGCGACGAUCCCUGGCUGGUCUGAGAGGAUGACCAGCCACACUGGAACUGAGACACGGUCCAG